rnacentral:lncRNA from 1 species
UCUCGAUAGUUGAUUUAUAAAAGGAAUUGUCGAAUAACAACUUCGUAUGUUGCAUCUUGACUGGUAUUGCGCCACAUUCCCGGAGCGACGCCACCCAAACGAAGGACCUCAUUAAUAAAAGCCUCAGUGUAAGGGUAAUUCAAGGAAAGCGAAUUACGUUGGCGUCGAGUCCCGACCGAAGGCGUUGAUAAUUUCCUGUCGAACACGUUCCUGGCCUUGAGGAUACUUGGCCAAACACAGGAGUAUCCAGCGAAUGGUUGUGAUGGUCGUCUCUCCGCCGGCGAUAAACAAAUCGGAGACCAACCAAAGGAGUUGCGUCUCUGUAUAUACGAGAAUUCACAACCCUGAAAAAUGUUGCCGAUAACCAAACGUGACUUAAGUGGAUGUUGUUGUCUCACCGGUAAAGUGAGUCGACGUUCCACUGCUUUUUAAUUCUUGCAUUUUAACCAGGUAGUCGUACAUCAUGGAUUCUUCCACUUCCGAGCUUGAAGUUUCCUCUCUGUACUUCCUGAACUUGCCGAUGAGUUGUUUAAAGUAUACCAUUCUCGUCGAGACGAUGAGCCACAAGCGCACACAGUUGUGCCAUAUUAAAUGCCACAGGCUGCAUCAGAAUUUUUUUUUUAUGUUUGAUUUGUUAUACACUAUUAAAUUAUAUUCAAAUUAGAAUUUACGUGAGUAUGAUGACGUAGUUAUGGGGUCCGGUGAGCUCGACAGCCUGCAAAUUUGUUUCAAGGUUUUUAAUGACUUUUUGCAAAAAUGGAUCGCCCCAUUUAAAUUUAUCGCCGCUGAUGAUGGUCCAAAUGAUGUUGUACACUGCCGUCGCAAUGUUCGGAUGCGGAUCGUGAUUUUCACCGUUCGUUUUCUAAAUGAACCCGUAGAAAUUUAAUUAAUCUUUCAGCAUAAAUGUAUGAAGACUUACACCAAUUUGAUGAAGAUAUUCAUCAACCACAUAUUGAAUUCUCUGCUCCAUUGAUUGUUUUCCAAAUCCAUACUUGCGAAAUUCGUGAGUCAGAAAUGUUCGAUGUUCCUUCCACGACGGCCCAUCAUUGAACACAAUUCCUGGUAAAUCGAAAUACGUCAAUCCCGGCGGCCGUUCGGUGAAUUUGUCCGCCUGAUGGACACACAAACGUUGAGCAACCCUUGCGUCUGAAAUCACGACGACUCGUUGUCUGAAAAACCGCAAAUAGCAAAUCGGUCCCGUCUGAAAACGAAACGUCAUUGUUUGGUCAGCAAAUAGUCUAAGAGUUAUGUUCAAUUGUUCACUUCGCACAAUCAAUAUUUUUAUAAAGAAAUAACUUGUAUUGCCUGAAAAGCCCACUGAGAGAACUUGACAAAAGCCGGCUCGCCUUGAAUAAACGUCGAGUGAAUUAAUUCCAUCAAAUUGCCAAAGAUGAGAUUUUGCUUGGGACCAGGAGCCAACCGCCGCUGUGCCAAAGAUAUCCGCCAUUGUGGAGAUGAUGCAGUAAUUUUUCGCAAGAUGAAUGUGCUGAAACGCGGGAGGAUUUCUAAAAAGAGCUUGAAACUGAGCAAGGUCACAGCACGUUAUGUCAGAGGAAAGCCGAGUUGCAAGGCGUUCAACUUUCACGAUAACCUUCCUUCACCAACUGUACGAGUUUUGACUGAGCCAUUCAAUUCCCUGGAGGUUCUUCAUGGCGGAGCGAAAUGUAAUGGUGUCGAUGUCCUAAUAACAUCUGGUUCGGAAAAGUAGA